GACGAACGCUGGCGGCGUGCUUAACACAUGCAAGUCGAACGGAAAGGCCCUGCUUUUGUGGGGUGCUCGAGUGGCGAACGGGUGAGUAACACGUGAGUAACCUGCCCUUGACUUUGGGAUAACUUCAGGAAACUGGGGCUAAUACCGGAUAGGAGCUCCUGCUGCAUGGUGGGGGUUGGAAAGUUUCGGCGGUUGGGGAUGGACGCGCGGCUUAUCAGCUUGUUGGUGGGGUAGUGGCUUACCAAGGCUUUGACGGGUAGCCGGCCUGAGAGGGUGACCGGCCACCUUGGGACUGAGAUACGGCCCAGACUCCUACGGGAGGCAGCAGUGGGGAAUAUUGCACAAUGGGCGGAAGCCUGAUGCAGCAACGCCGCGUGCGGGAUGACGGCCUUCGGGUUGUAAACCGCUUUCGCCUGUGACGAAGCGUGAGUGACGGUAAUGGGUAAAGAAGCACCGGCUAACUACGUG
rnacentral:rRNA from 1 species